AGCGGCGGACGGGUGAGUAAUGCCUAGGAAUCUGCCUGGUAGUGGGGGAUAACGUUCCGAAAGGAACGCUAAUACCGCGUACGUCCUACGGGAGAAAGCAGGGGACCUUCGGGCCUUGCGCUAUCAGAUGAGCCUAGGUCGGAUUAGCUAGUUGGUGAGGUAAUGGCUCACCAAGGCGACGAUCCGUAACUGGUCUGAGAGGAUGAUCAGUCACACUGGAACUGAGACACGGUCCAGACUCCUACGGGAGGCAGCAGUGGGGAAUAUUGGACAAUGGGCGAAAGCCUGAUCCAGCCAUGCCGCGUGUGUGAAGAAGGUCUUCGGAUUGUAAAGCACUUUAAGUUGGGAGGAAGGGCUGCUGGUUAAUACCCUGCAGUUUUGACGUUACCAACAGAAUAAGCACCGGCUAACUUCGUGCCAGCAGCCGCGGUAAUACGAAGGGUGCAAGCGUUAAUCGGAAUUACUGGGCGUAAAGCGCGCGUAGGUGGUUCGUUAAGUUGGAUGUGAAAGCCCCGGGCUCAACCUGGGAACUGCAUCCAAAACUGGCGAGCUAGAGUACGGUAGAGGGUGGUGGAAUUUCUGUGUAGCGUGAAAUGCGUAGAUAUAGGAAGGAACACCAGUGGCGAAGGCGACCACCUGGWUGAUAC
rnacentral:rRNA from 1 species